rnacentral:lncRNA from 1 species
GUUUGAUCUCCUGAUUCUAUAUAUAGUAAAUUAGAGCACAGUUGUUGUAAAGUGCAUUAUCUCCUGUUUCUGCAUUUACAGAUGAGAGUUUAAUCAUUUGAAUUCAGAUAGGAUGAUAUUUAGAAGAUAUCCAUUGAAAUUAUAAUUAUAUAUUUGCUUAGUAUAUGGGAGUCACUGACAGAAUUAUGUUAUAUAAAUGAAACUGUAGUUGUUGCACAAAAUCCAUUUCAAAAAAAUGUAACUUGCAGUUGUUUGAGCUCCCAGGGUCUCAUUAGUUGAUUCUGAUAUGAUAAUAUACAGCCUUAGAUAACAUUGUCUUGAUCACUGUCAAGUAAGUCAAAGUACAGAAUUUUGGAGUGACUGCAUUUGAAAU